rnacentral:tRNA from 1 species
GGGGCUGUGGCUCAGAUGGAUAGAGCAAGCGCCUCCAUAAGCGCUAGGUCGCGCGUUCGAAUCGCUGCCAGUCCCG